CUUCCUCCUGCAGUAGAUGGGAAGAAAUACAGAGACCCAAACCAAGCAAUAUGCAGAGUGAGAGACCUUGAAACACUCAGCCCUAAAUAGAAUGUCUCCAUCAAAUCCUUCUCCUCAGGGCUCGGGCAACCUUGUGGAAGAAGAGGAGGAAAGAAUCUAAGAGCCAGAGGGAAGGGAGGACACCCAGGAAACACGUCCAUCUGAACACAACAGGACCAAAGCACAUGUGAAGUCACAGAGCCCGAGGCAGCACACACAGGUUCUGCACAGGCUUCAACGGGUUCUCGACCACCCUAAGGAGGGAAUGUAGCGACAGGAGAUACAAAGGAAAAGACACCAAGUCAAGAUUCUGAUCAAGAAUAUUUAAUGAGCAAGAAAGAGCUGGAAUAAGAAGAACAAGAGCAGAAACAACCUUUUUACAACUUAAAGAUCUUCCUCAAACAUCGCAUCUGUACAGCUGACCUGAGAAUGCAGGAUUAUUUAGUAAUUAAAACACAGAAGUCUGACUGGAUGAUUUGCAGCUAGUGCUUGAUGAAGGGGGCAGUUCUGAGGAAGUUUUUAACCUGAGGGGAAUCAAUUGGUGUUUGAAGGGCUGAGCGCUCAUCUAUACUUGCUAUCUUUUAUGGAGCACAGAAGUUUUGACUUUAUAACGGCUCAUUCUAAAUAACUUAAAUUUGUUUCUAUUGCAGAACACACAUCUGUUUAUUGUAGCAUGUCUGGAUGUCUAAAAUUACUUAACAAUUACUAAGCUCUGACAAUGAGAUUACAGACCAGUGUUUUAGCUUAUACCUGUGGUCUCUUACUUGUUCACAUACAUAUUUUUUGCAAAACUAUAAUUUCAAAGUUACUACUUGUUUUUCAAAAUGCAGUAUAAU